GACGGAGGAUGCAAGCGUUAUCCGGAAUGAUUGGGCGUAAAGCGUCUGCAGGUGGCAGUUCAAGUCUGCUGUCAAAGACCGGGGCUUAACUUCGGAAAGGCAGUGGAAACUGAACAGCUAGAGUAUGGUAGGGGCAGAGGGAAUUCCUGGUGUAGCGGUGAAAUGCGUAGAGAUCAGGAAGAACAUCGGUGGCGAAGGCGCUCUGCUGGACCAUAACUGACACUCAGGGACGAGAGCUAGGGGAGCGAAUGGG
rnacentral:rRNA from 1 species